GAUGAACGCUGGCGGCGUGCCUAAUACAUGCAAGUCGAGCGAACAGAUGAGGAGCUUGCUCCUCUGACGUUAGCGGCGGACGGGUGAGUAACACGUGAGUAACCUGCCCUUGACUUUGGGAUAACUUCAGGAAACUGGGGCUAAUACCGGAUAGGAGCUCCUGCUGCAUGGUGGGGGUUGGAAAGUUUCGGCGGUUGGGGAUGGACUCGCGGCUUAUCAGCUUGUUGGUGGGGUAGUGGCUUACCAAGGCUUUGACGGGUAGCCGGCCUGAGAGGGUGACCGGCCACAUUGGGACUGAGAGACGGCCCAGACUCCUACGGGAGGCAGCAGUGGGGAAUAUUGCACAAUGGGCGGAAGCCUGAUGCAGCAACGCCGCGUGCGGGAUGACGGCCUUCGGGUUGUAAACCGCUUUCGCCUGUGACGAAGCGUGAGUGACGGUAAUGGGUAAAGAAGCACCGGCUAACUACGUG
rnacentral:rRNA from 1 species